rnacentral:rRNA from 1 species
UACGUAGGGUGCGAGCGUUAAUCGGAAUUACUGGGCGUAAAGCGUGCGCAGGCGGUUCGUUGUGUCGGCGGUGAAAGCCCCGGGCUUAACCUGGGAAUGGCCGUUGAAACUGGCGAACUGGAGUGUGGCAGAGGGGGGUGGAAUUCCGCGUGUAGCAGUGAAAUGCGUAGAGAUGCGGAGGAACACCGAUGGCGAAGGCAGCCCCCUGGGCUAACACUGACGCUCAGGCACGAAAGCGUGGGGAGCAACCAGG